AUUGAACGCUGGCGGCAGGCCUAACACAUGCAAGUCGAGCGGUAAGGCCCUUCGGGGUACACGAGCGGCGAACGGGUGAGUAACACGUGGGUGACCUGCCCUCAGCUCUGGGAUAAGCCUGGGAAACCGGGUCUAAUACCGGAUACGACCGUGGGAUGCAUGUUCCAUGGUGGAAAGUUUUUCGGCUGGGGAUGGGCCCGCGGCCUAUCAGCUUGUUGGUGGGGUGAUGGCCUACCAAGGCGGGGACGGGUAGCCGGCCUGAGAGGGCGACCGGCCACACUGGGACUGAGACACGGCCCAGACUCCUACGGGAGGCAGCAGUGGGGAAUAUUGCGCAAUGGGCGGAAGCCUGACGCAGCGACGCCGCGUGGGGGAUGACGGCCUUCGGGUUGUAAACCUCUUUCGCCGGGGACGAAGCUUUUGUGACGGUACCUGGAGAAGAAGCACCGGCCAACUACGUGCCAGCAGCCGCAGUAAGAC
rnacentral:rRNA from 1 species